GGUUUUUGCAGUUCCUUCAUAUAAAGAUUGUAAUGAAAAAUGGGAAGAAUGCUACAUCAAAGUCAAGUACAUUUACUGUGAAGUUCUGAUAUGAUCACUUGUCCUCCUACAUAACACAGACCUCUUUUGGAUGGAACCCAUGGGAUGACAAGUCAAUCCUCCAUGACAGCAACCAAUAUUCACAUUGGAAUGGAUAUGCACUGUCUCCCAAGACCAGCACGAGCGGUGCUUGUCACUGAGUGCUCUAGCUUGAGCAAGUACUGAAGUCUUGGCACAAAAGCAAUUGGACGAAGUAAAGAGGUGUCUCACAACAUGGCCACUAAACCAUUCAUACAGCUUGCAGACCAGAAAGCUCGGAGUCAUCCUUACAUCCUUUCCAUUCCUGAUCUCACAUCGAUCCCCUCUGGCACUAGCUCCAAAACAUACUGAGUCCAAAGCUAGUUGCCUCCAUUCCUGCCCCUGUAAUACCAACCAAAAUCAGAAUUCUCUCUGAAAUCGAUCUACAUAUUUUAUUUAUUUUAUUUUUAUUUGAGAGAGAGGGGGAGCGAGGGAAAGGGAGAGAGAGAAAAAGGGACCUUCCAUCCACUGGUUCUUUGUCAAAUGCUGAGACUGCCCCAGGCAGAAGUCAGGAGACCAGAACUCAAUCUCCAACUCCAACAAGAGGAGCAAGAGUCCAAGUACUUGAGUUAUCAACUGCUGCCUCCCAAUGUGUG